CCUACUGGCGACAGCAGUGAGGAAUCUUGGUCAAUGGACGAGAGUCUGAACCAGCCAAGUAGCGUGAAGGAUGACUGCCCUGUGUGUUGUAAACUUCUUUUAUAUGGGAAUAACACAGGGGAUUCCUACCCUCUUGUAUGUACCUUAUGAAUCAGCAUCGGCUAACUCCGUGCCCGCAGCCGCCGUAAUACGGCGGAUCCGAGCGUUCGCCGGAUUUAUUGGGUUUAAAGGGAGCGUAGGUGGACUGUUAAGUCAGUUGUGAAAGUUUGCGGCUCAACCGUGAAAUUGCAGUUGAAACUGGCAGUCUUGAGUACAGUAGAGGUGGGCGGAAUUCGGGGUGUAGCGGUGAAAUGCUUAGAUAUCGCGAAGAACUCCGAGUGCGAAGGCAGCUCACUGGACUGCAACUGACACUGAUGCUCGAAAGUGUGGGUAUCAAACAGGAUGAGAUACCCGUGUAGUC
rnacentral:rRNA from 1 species